GCCUGUGGAGAGUCCCCUGCAGCCCUGUCCUUCCUCCUCAGCGCGCCCUGGCCUCACCCUUGCCCCAGGCAUUUCUUUGGGCAUGAGGAGAGCUCGACACACCCUGAAGGUUCAACCAGGUCCUCAGCCUUUCCUGGUGGCACCAUCUUUACCCCAGGGAACUCAAUUUUCUGUACCCCCACCCCGCCCCCCAGCCCUAGCUGAGCCUUCCUGCCUCUCCUCCCUGCCUGGGACUGCGCUAUGCACUCCUGGCUCUCACCCCCUGUGCCUCUGUUCCUCCGCCUGGCACUGCUGUCCCCAUUUUGGCUCCAUCCUGGCUCCUGCCCCUCACCAGGCCUCUGCCCGGACCAUCCGCUCCCCAGGAAGCUUCAGCCCUGGGGUGCCUAUGCCCACAAGCCCACCCCAGCCCUGACACCUCCCAGCCGAGCCAAGAACCUGGGUCCGGGCUCCCUCCUCAACCCUCAAAAGUUCUGCCCAUCUUACCUGCCCUGAGAAUUUACAGUACCUGCCCUACUUCCACCACUGUCACCCCACUCUUUCCAAAUGCAUCUACCAUCCUGUUCUGUGCCCUGUAUAUUCAUUUUCCACAUAAUUUAAAAUGCAGGUCUGGCCAGGCCCCCUCCACACGGACAACCUGGGUCCUGCUCUCCCCAGACCCCAGCCACCUGCGACCCCUCCUGCCUCACGCUACCUGUGGCCACUCAGCCUUUGCUCCUGCUGCUGUCCCGACUGAGACGUCCUUCUAACCACCUUGCCCACCCUCUCUCACCCCUCAGCACCUGCCCUGGCUUCACGCUGCCGCCUCCCAGCCACCUGGUACCCUCCACAGCGCCGCCCCUGCCGCUUCUGCCCAGAUCUGUUCUGUGCCCAGCCCGUAUUAUUGGCUUGAUCUACUUGCAGGUCUGUCCUCACCAACUCGAACACCCCCGAGGGCAGGAACGGUUUACCUCAGCAUAGAGCACAGUUCCAGGGCCCCAGGAGGAGCUCAGAGGACCUGUGGGAAAUGUGGUUCCUAUGGGCAAUGACUCCCUGAAUGCAACGUCACGUGUCACCUUGGAGGGAAAGACCCGAUAAAAACCUUAAUCAUAUUCAAGGGAAAGGAGCUUGGCUUUUCCUGGGCACAGCCUAACGGUGUUGGUGACCGGGGUAGGAAGGGGACUCGGCUUCUAUUGCACCAUGUCCUCGUCGAUUCUUCUUCAUUCUGUGAGCCCAAGGGGGCAGGGACCAAGGUCACGUAUCCCAGCAGAGCCUGCGCACAGGAGGUGCCUAGGUCGUGUUGGUUGGCUGAAAGCCCUGUCACCCAGCAAGAGGCAGGCAGUGAUGAGGGGACCUCAGAGGGGUGCUCUGGACUGUUACCUCAGAAGAGGAACUAUGCAGAGUGGGGCGGGCUGGCUGGGGAUGCAGCCGAGGGAGGAGGCUGACCUCCCAUGGCCACCCCGCACCUCCACGUGCACCAGGGCUUGCCCCCGGCUCAGGGCACUGGACUGCUGUUUAGAUGCAAAGAAAGAGUCCUGGGCUGGGAGUCUGGAGGUUCCAGUCUCUGUUUUCAGCAGUGUGUUUUAGUCAAGGCACUUUUACUCUCUCUGGACUUCUGUCUCCUCAAAUGCAAAAUGAAGAGCUGGACCGGAAACUUGUUCCAUCCAGUUCCAAUAUCUCCUCUUUUGCACGAAGGACGUGGGCUUGGAGUCAGAGGAACUGGGUUCAAGAGCUGGGGCUCCAUUUACCAGCUGUAAGUCCUUGGCCAGGUUACUUAAUCUCCCAAAGCUGCAAUUUUCUCACCUGUAGAGCGGGACUGACAACCAUUAGCUACCUCUCAGAUUCUUGGGAUUAGAUAUGCUUUCGGGUGAAAACGCUCCAUACACUUUAAGGCACUAUGUGACUGCUGGUUAUUA